rnacentral:rRNA from 1 species
CACCGGCGGCUCGAGUGGUGGCCCCUUUUAUUGGGUCUAAAGCGUCCGUAGCCGGCUUGGCAAGUCCCCUGGGAAAUCUGGCGGCUUAACCGUCAGGCGUCCAGAGGAUACUGCCAGGCUUGGGACCGGGAGAGGUGAGAGGUACCUCAGGGGUAGGGGUGAAAUCUUGUGAUCCCUGAGGGACCACCAGUGGCGAAGGCGUUUAGCUGGAACACGCCCGACGGUGAGGGACGAAAGCUAGGGGAGCGAACCGG